rnacentral:rRNA from 1 species
AAUACCGCAUACGUCCUACGGGAGAAAGCAGGGGACCUUCGGGCCUUGCGCUAUCAGAUGAGCCUAGGUCGGAUUAGCUAGUUGGUGAGGUAAUGGCUCACCAAGGCGACGAUCCGUAACUGGUCUGAGAGGAUGAUCAGUCACACUGGAACUGAGACACGGUCCAGACUCCUACGGGAGGCAGCAGUGGGGAAUAUUGGACAAUGGGCGAAAGCCUGAUCCAGCCAUGCCGCGUGUGUGAAGAAGGUCUUCGGAUUGUAAAGCACUUUAAGUUGGGAGGAAGGGCAGUUACCUAAUACGUGAUUGUUUUGACGUUACCGACAGAAUAAGCACCGGCUAACUCUGUGCCAGCAGCCGCGGUAAUACAGAGGGUGCAAGCGUUAAUCGGAAUUACUGGGCGUAAAGCGCGCGUAGGUGGUUUGUUAAGUUGGAUGUGAAAUCCCCGGGCUCAACCUGGGAACUGCAUUCAAAACUGACUGACUAGAGUAUGGUAGAGGGUGGUGGAAUUUCCUGUGUAGCGGUGAAAUGCGUAGAUAUAGGAAGGAACACCAGUGGCGAAGGCGACCACCUGGACUAAUACUGACACUGAGGUGCGAAAGCGUGGGGAGCAAACAGGAUUAGAUACCCUGGUAGUCCACGCCGUAAACGAUGUCAACUAGCCGUUGGAAGCCUUGAGCUUUUAGUGGCGCAGCUAACGCAUUAAGUUGACCGCCUGGGGAGUACGGCCGCAAGGUUAAAACUCAAAUGAAUUGACGGGGGCCCGCACAAGCGGUGGAGCAUGUGGGUUUAAUUCGAAGCAACGCGAAGAACCCUUACCAGGCCUUGACAUCCAAUGAACUUUCUAGAGAUAGAUUGGUGCCUUCGG